rnacentral:piRNA from 1 species
AAAUCCAAGUAUGUGUCAUGUGG